AUUGAACGCUGGCGGCAGGCCUAACACAUGCAAGUCGAGCGGAUGAAGGGAGCUUGCUCCUGGAUUCAGCGGAGGACGGGUGAGUAAUGCCUAGGAAUCUGCCUGGUAGUGGGGGAUAACGUCCGGAAACGGGCGCUAAUGCCGCAUACGUCCUGAGGGAGAAAGUGGGGGAUCUUCGGACCUCACGCUAUCAGAUGAGCCUAGGUCGGAUUAGCUAGUUGGUGGGGUAAAGGCCUACCAAGGCGACGAUCCGUAACUGGUCUGAGAGGAUGAUCAGUCACACUGGAACUGAGACACGGUCCAGACUCCUACGGGAGGCAGCAGUGGGGAAUAUUGGACAAUGGGCGAAAGCCUGAUCCAGCCAUGCCGCGUGUGUGAAGAAGGUCUUCGGAUUGUAAAGCACUUUAAGUUGGGAGGAAGGGCAGUAAGUUAAUACCUUGCUGUUUUGACGUUACCAACAGAAUAAGCACCGGCUAACUUCGUG
rnacentral:rRNA from 1 species